rnacentral:rRNA from 1 species
CGUAGGGGGCGAGCGUUGUCCGGAUUCAUUGGGCGUAAAGCGCUUUAAGGCGGUUCGGUAAGUCGGGUGUGAAACCUCCAGGCUCAACCUGGAGACGCCACUCGAUACUGCUGUGACUAGAGUUCGGUAGGGGAUCACGGAAUUCCUGGUGUAGCGGUGAAAUGCGCAGAUAUCAGGAGGAACACCGGUGGCGAAGGCGGUGAUCUGGGCCGACACUGACGCUGUAGAGCGAAAGCGUGGGGAGCGAACAGGAUUAGAUACCCUGGUAGUCCACGCCGUAAACGUUGGGCACUAGGUGUGGGGGAUUAUCAACGUCCUCCGUGCCGUAGCUAACGCAUUAAGUGCCCCGCCUGGGGAGUACGGCCGCAAGGCUA